ACACUAUGCAGGCGGUGUGGAAAAGCCCUUGGUGCACUCAUUGCCAGGUUAGGAGGAAAUCCCUGUGCAGCAAAUGAUGAUCAGAAUGCUAACUAAUUUGAGACAUGAGUCUGAGUUCUGGCUUUCCAGGAGGGGGCGACAGGCCUGCAUGCUGUGCUACUUGGCUCCUAGGAGGGAGGGUACAGGCUGGUGUGUUUCCUCCUCCUACUCCUUCCUGGCUUGUGAUUGGGCUGCUGCUGCUUCACUUUGGACCAGUGUGGAGGCUGCACCUGAGCCAAGGAGCCAAUAAGGAGAGAGAGAGAGAGACAGAGAGAGAGGGGGAGGUAGAGAGAGAGAGAGAGGAGCAACACAACAAUACCCACUC